UCCACCCCAUCCUAUACCUUUUAGCUUUUAAUAUAAGAAAUAUAUUAGGUUUUUUAGUCUUCUUAUAUAACUAACAAAGUAAGACCGCGAGACCGUGCGGUCUAACAAAAUUCUGAUAAUAUCGUUAACAAAAACUGGACAGUGUGAUUCAACCAAUCGCUAACGUGGACAUAUAAUAGAUAGUGUUUUGAAGUUUUACAUGUACGGUCUAACAAAUUCUUUUAGUACUGCUAACAAAUAUAAACAUAUAAGCCAAUCGCUGAUUUUGAUCCUUCUGACAUCAUCACUAUCUUCGCCAUAUUUGCAGAACAUUAGAUACAGAAUUCUAUUUUCAAAGAUUUUGUUUAGUUAAGUUUUUUAAGCCCAAGAAUGGAGAUAACCACAACAGUUUCGCAAAGUCAAACUUUAGAGGUAAUUCCAUACACAGUGCUAAUUUGAAAUAUAAGUGAUCGCAGUGAAUGGUUGCUCCAACAGGCUUUAUAUUCACCCUUACACGUGGUCGACUUGCUUGAUAUUAUAACAAAAGUGAUUGACCGGGUGUAUAUAUCUUUAUGAUUAUACUAUCGUGUCUUCGUAAAAGCAACAAAACUAUGUACGAAAUACCAUCCAUAUGCAACAAACUGUAACAUUAUAUAUAUACGUACAUAUACACCUCAUUCAUAACACUGCCACCGACUUAAACAUGAGGUUACAAAGAUGUUAGCUCCGGAAAGCGUAAAUCUAAUAUUAUGAUUUUUCUUUAUUAUGAAGAUGCCGGC
rnacentral:lncRNA from 1 species